rnacentral:rRNA from 1 species
CCUACGGGUGGCAGCAGUGGGGAAUAUUGCACAAUGGGCGCAAGCCUGAUGCAGCCAUGCCGCGUGUGUGAAGAAGGCCUUCGGGUUGUAAAGCACUUUCAGCGGGGAGGAAGGCGUUAAGGUUAAUAACCUUGUCGAUUGACGUUACCCGCAGAAGAAGCACCGGCUAACUCCGUGCCAGCAGCCGCGGUAAUACGGAGGGUGCAAGCGUUAAUCGGAAUUACUGGGCGUAAAGCGCACGCAGGCGGUCUGUCAAGUCGGAUGUGAAAUCCCCGGGCUCAACCAGGGAACUGCAUUCGAAACUGGCAGGCUAGAGUCUUGUAGAGGGGGGUAGAAUUCCAGGUGUAGCGGUGAAAUGCGUAGAGAUCUGGAGGAAUACCGGUGGCGAAGGCGGCCCCCUGGACAAAGACUGACGCUCAGGUGCGAAAGCGUGGGGAGCAAACAGGAUUAGAUACCCUUGUAGUC